rnacentral:rRNA from 1 species
UGGGGAAUUUUGGACAAUGGGCGCAAGCCUGAUCCAGCCAUGCCGCGUGAGUGACGAAGGCCUUAGGGUUGUAAAGCUCUUUUGGCGGGGAAGAUAAUGACGGUACCCGCAGAAUAAGCUCCGGCUAACUUCGUGCCAGCAGCCGCGGUAAUACGAAGGGAGCUAGCGUUGUUCGGAAUCACUGGGCGUAAGGCGCACGUAGGUGGGCAGUUAAGUCAGGGGUGAAAGCCCGAGGCUCAACCUCGGAAUUGUCUCUGAUACUGGCUGUCUAGAGUUCGAGAGAGGUGAGUGGAAUUCCUAGUGUAGAGGUGAAAUUCGUAGAUAUUAGGAAGAACACCGGUGGCGAAGGCGGCUCACUGGCUCGAUACUGACACUGAGGUGCGAAAGCGUGGGGAGCAAACAGGAUUAGAUACCCAGGUAGUCCCUGAGCGGGCUGGCAAGGCGCAU